rnacentral:rRNA from 1 species
UGUUGCAUGGCUGUCGUCAGCUCGUGUCGUGAGAUGUUGGGUUAAGUCCCGCAACGAACGCAACCCUCAUCCUUAGUUACCAUCAGGUAAUGCUGGGGACUUUAAGGAAACUGCCAGUGAUAAACUGGAGGAAGGUGGGGAUGAUGUCAAGUCAUCAUGGCCCUUAUGGAGUGGGCUACACACGUGCUACAAUGGUGGCUACAAUGGGCUGCAAAGUCGCGAGGCUAAGCUAAUCCCUUAAAAGCCAUCUCAGUUCGGAUUGUACUCUGCAACUCGAGUGCAUGAAGUUGGAAUCACUAGUAAUCGUGGAUCAGCACGCCACGGUGAAUAUGUUCUCGGGUC